rnacentral:pre_miRNA from 1 species
UCCAACGUUUAAUCGUUCGUUUUAUUUAAAAAAUUUUAUAAUUAAUAUUUUGUUGUUAGUAGAUAAUAAAACAUAAAUAAUAUUUUUAUGUGUGACUAUUUUUUAAAAAAAUUAUAAAAUUUUUAAAUAAGAUGAACGGUCAAACGUUAGACA